UCUUGGACACCAAUAAUGUGACCAGCUAGAGUAGAUGAGACAGGUAAGUUCAAUAAAUUCUGUAACAAGUACUGUUGCGGAUCUGCGUGAUUGAUUUUUAUCUUCUUUUCUUUUAAUUAGCAGGAUUCAAAUGUUGCUCUUUCUAGCAAAGGAAAAAUGUUUUCGUCUGUCCCUGCUCUCUGCAGCUCUACUUCAAUUUCCUCUCGAGACUGUGAGGAUGGAUCAAAUGAUUGCCAAUCAUGAUAAAUUCUUCCCAUGGGCAUGUCUACACUUAUCUCCGGAGCGAUCGAUCCAGCAGGGGUCGAUUUAUCGCAUCUAGUGAAGGCCUGAUCAAUCGACCAUUGAGCGCUCUCCUGUUGACUCCGGUACUCCACCGGAGCAAGAAGCAUAGGCGGAGUCGAUGGGGAGCAGCAGCAGUCGACCUACAGCAGUGAAGACACCGUGGUGGGUGCACUAAUACCAAACCCACAGCUCCAUGUAUGUAUUGCAUGACAGACCAGGUAAUAGCAUGCUUGCUUUUUUAAACUCUUCUCAUCCCAUACCCCAAUCCCUCCCCACCAUUUUUUGGGCUAGACACUAUGCAAACAGAACAAUAGACAGUCCCAUUGUUAUUUGUACUGCAAAGAUUCUAGUGCACUUUGAGGCUAUGCAGAAAUAAUCAGACUGGAAAGAAUGAGCCAGGCAAAAAGCCAAGCCCAAGGAGAGCUAUGAGAAGUGAGGAAGAUAUUCAGGCCCAGCCAGACUGAGGUGCUGUGAUGAGAGAAACUCUGCUCAAGAGGGAAAUUUGAAUCUGUCUUUUCCUGUCCCAUCACUAUUAGCUGUGCCUAGACCACCUUCCUCUGGAUGAGGGAUACUUCUGGCUAAAUUGUACCCUUAUGCUCCAGCAGACAAGUCUGUGGGGGAAGCAGGGAGCGCAUUCAUCCCUGGCUGACACUUGACCUUGUCUGCAUGAGGGGAAGUUAGUGCACUAACCACCAUGCCGAAUGUGUCUGUGUCACUUUUCCAUUUUAAGCCCUCCAGAUUAAGGAUUUAUCUAUGUUUGUACAGCACCCAGUACAAUGAGGUCUCAUCGUGCCUAGGAGCUUUGGGCGCUACCAUAAUCUAAAUGUUUAUUAUUAAUAAUAAUAGCCUGCACUUGUAUUUGCAUUCCACCCACGCACCUCAAAGUGCUUUACAAACAGUUUAAUUUAUUAUUCUCCACUUGGAGGAAGGGGUAAUUGAGGAAGAGAGAGAUUAAGAGAGUCACCCAAUGUCACAGCACUUCACUCUGCUACUGCUGAAUCUGUAGGCUGAACAGAUGACACUGAUGUGAGGAGACAGUAGUCUGUGUACAGGAAAAUUGUCCUGGGAAAGCUUGACUGAAUUUUAAAUGUCUAAAUGUUCUUGCUCAUAAAUUAUUGGUUUGUUCUGGAUUUUAUUACUCUCUUACCUUAUAGAAGAAGAUUAAACCUAAAAUGCCCUUGCCUUCUCCUUUCCAUCUAGUGAUGAUUCUACAGACUAACAAGAGAGGCCACAGAUAUUUUUUCUGUGAUGUUAAGAAUGACUCUAUAGAUCAAAUACCCUUUAAUUAUUUCCGUUUCCAUUUAUAAUUAUACAGGUUGUCAAGCAUUGUUCAUCUGGCUUUUGUGUAAUUGGAACAGGUGGUGUAUUGACGUUUUAACAUCUCAUUACUGUUGUCGUAUGUAAAACUUUUAAAAAAUGGCUUAAGAAACAGUUGUGAGCUAUGGCAAAUACCCUCCAGGGCUUCAUGACUCAAACAUCCUAGGGCUCCUUCCCUGCCUUCGUGUCUAGGUAAUCCUAAACAGGCUCAGUGAGGCUCCCAGCCAGGUUUUGUGAUAGUCAACUCAUGAUUUUAAGGGCUUUCUUUUUUUCAUUCUUGUUUACUUACUAUUUAUAUACCAGGAGUACUUACAGGGCCCUGCCAACACUGGUGCUCUAUUAUGUCAGGUGUUGUACAUGCACAUAAUGAGGAAGAUUCCCUUCCCUACCCUGCCCUGCCCGGGUUAGUUGACUCAGGCUCACGAGGCUCAGGCUGUGGGCUAAAAAUUGCUGUAUAGAUAUUCUGGCUCAAACUGGAGCCCAAGUUCUGGUAUUCUCAAUUGUUGCUCAUCUCAGAGCUCAGGCUCCAGCCCCAGCCCAAAUGUCUACAAAGCAACUUUUCAGCCCUGAAGCCUGAGCCCCGGGAGCCUGACUCAGUUGAUGGGGCCAGCCAUGGAGGUUUUUAUCCCCCUGUCAAGGUUCCUUCCCCACUCUGAACUCUAGGGUACAGAUGUGGGGACCUGCAUGAAAGACCCCCUAAGCUUAUUCUUACCAGCUUAGGUUAAA